UACGUAGGGUGCAAGCGUUAAUCGGAAUUACUGGGCGUAAAGCGUGCGCAGGCGGUUAUGUAAGACAGAUGUGAAAUGCCCGGGCUUAACCUGGGAACUGCAUUUGUGACUGCAUGGCUAGAGUUUGGCAGAGGGGGGGGUAGAAUUCCACGUGUAGCAGUGAAAAUGCGUAGAUAUGUGGAGGAACACCGAUGGCGAAGGCAGCCCCCCUGGGUCAAGACUGACGCUCAUGCACGAA
rnacentral:rRNA from 1 species